CUCAAAUCCUCCUCCCUCUCUCUCUUCAAACCCUCCUCCCUCGCUCGUGAAGCCCAAGCACUACCGCCCCAAACCCGACCAACUCCUCAAACCCUCCUCUCCCUCUCACGCUCGUGACCCCAAGCACUGGCGCCGACCAACUCCGACUCCGACCAACUCUGACUCCGACCUCCUCUUCUCGCAAAGCCCUAAGCAAGAUCGCAUGCAAUCGUCUCCAGAAGGAGCUCGUCGAGUGGCAGGUCAAUCCCCCCGUCGGAUUCAAGCACAAGGUCUCCGAUAAUCUCCAGAGGUUAUUGAGGUUAAUGGAGCGGAGGGGACUUUGUAUGCCAAUGAGACUUAUCAGCUUCAGGUUGAUUUUCCUGAGCAUUACCCUAUGGAAGCGCCUCAGGCGAUGAAAAGACUCGAUUUUUAUUGUUAAAUUUUGUGUUUUGGGGGGGAAUUGGAUUGUUACUGAUGGAAAAGAUGUGGGUUUUAUUUGAUGGGUUUUGUUGAUCAGGUGAUUUUUCUGAAUCCGGCACCGUUGCAUCCGCAUAUCUACAACAACAGGCAUAUUUAUUUAGAUAAUUCUUGAUUGGGUUGUUGAAUUUGGUUUUAUUAUCUUUUGUGUUUAGUCUAUGAUGGAUUUGUUAUCAGUUUGGCUCUUUGCUUGUGUGAGAAGUGUUCCCGUUAAUCCUUUUUUGGUGUAGUUGUUGGCGUAAUGUUUUUAUGAGAAGUCUGGUAUCUUUUGUAUCUAUGAAGGGGCUAUCCUUUUCUCAUAGUUUAUUUUCUAUUCUCAUUUUUGGUUGGUAGAAGAUGGAUAUCUGCCUAUUAUAUUUCCUUGUUUGCAACUUAAAGCAAAUGCCAUAAUUGAAAGGGGGUGUCAUUGCUUUUUAUCUUCCUUCAUAGUUUAUUUCUUUAGGAUGCAUAAUCAUGUGGCGAGAGAUGAGGAUUAAGAUUAUCUUAUGACUUUGUGAUAGACACACUACAUUCAAAGUCUUUGUUGCUUCAGCUUAGGUUUACAUUUGGACACGAGACUUCAAACUCCAGGAAAAUUUCGAAUCCUAUUUUACUGCAAGUGACACAUUUGCUUCAAAUGUCAGCAUGGUUGCAUCUACUGCCUGAUACCAUGGAAUUACUUCAGUAGUUAGAUUAAACAACCACCUCCAUCCUGUCAACUUACUGAUUUUUUCUGCAUCUUGUUUUGUAACUAAAGACAUCCCGUGUAACUUAUUUUGCACUGUAAACUCUACUAUUUCAUUUUUAAUUUUGAUUUAUAGCUUGGCUUGACACUGUAUUUAGAUUUAAGCUUCAAAGACAUCGUAUACUUUUUGUAUUGUUUGUGGUAUGUUUUUUGCAGAUAAAAGAUGAAGAACUUUUCGGAAGAGUUCAGUGGAGAAGAAGAUGAGGGUUUAGUUCAAAGAAGAUGUUAUUGUGUGUUAAUUUGCAAAAUAUGGAUGUGCAAGCAAGGACACAAUAAGGGCUUGGAAUUUUAUGGAUGCCCAAGAUACAAGAGACCUAAUUGCAAGGGUUUCAACUUCUUCGAAUGGGUUGGUGAUAACAAGAACAUCACAAAAAGGCGGGAAAGGCUAGAAAAAAAUGAUGAGGUUUUAAAAAAAUUGUUGAAUGAUGUAAUUUUAUAUUUGAAAUUUAUAAGUACCAUUGUACUGAUAUUGUUGCUCUGUGUUAUAGUCAAAUGACUGAGCAACAUAUUAGUGAAUGACUGAUGUAUCUAAAUAUCCUAUUGAAAUUGGUUCAGUUGUUAUAAUUAUUUGAUAUA